rnacentral:rRNA from 1 species
GAUGAACGCUGGCGGCGUGCCUAAUACAUGCAAGUCGAGCGAACGGACGAGAAGCUUGCUUCUCUGAUGUUAGCGGCGGACGGGUGAGUAACACGUGGAUAACCUACCUAUAAGACUGGGAUAACUUCGGGAAACCGUAGCUAAUACCGGAUAAUAUUUUGAACCGCAUGGUUCAAAAGUGAAAGACGGUCUUGCUGUCACUUAUAGAUGGAUCCGCGCUGCAUUAGCUAGUUGGUAGGUAACGGCUUACCAAGGCAACGAUGCAUAGCCGACCUGAGAGGGUGAUCGGCCACACUGGAACUGAGACACGGUCCAGACUCCUACGGGAGGCAGCAGUAGGGAAUCUUCCGCAAUGGGCGAAAGCCUGACGGAGCAACGCCGCGUGAGUGAUGAAGGUCUUCGGAUCGUAAAACUCUGUUAUUAGGGAAGAACAUAUGUGUAAGUAACUGUGCACAUCUUGACGGUACCUAAUCAGAAAGCCACGGCUAACUACGAG